GGGUGGGUUAAAUGCAGAGGUGAAAUUUCCCCGUUGUGGGACUAAUAAGACUCACUUAAUCUUAAUUUGAACCUAAACACUUUCCCAUUGUCUGCCCACUUUCUGCAUUAGGUUUGGCCUUUUCUCCUGAACAUCCAGCACUAUUUUUUGCCCUGAAUGUCUUGAAACGCACUUCAUAAAGUGUUUGAGGCUGAAGGUCUUGAAAGAACGGCUCCUGGGUGCUUCUGCCAUUUGUUCUCUGCUGUGCUCUAGCGAAAGAGGGCUUGGUAGGCAGCGGGCGAGGAAGCAGUAAAGCUGCUGUGGGGGAGGGCAGACAGAGAAUGAGUCAACCCACACAUCAGCCAAUCCUAGCUCCUAGGUCCCCAUCUGUUCUGCAUAUCCCCUAGUACACGCCCCAGGAGCUCGUGGAGGAAUAAAAGAAAGGUGUUCCUCCUGACCAGCUCCAGUGCUCGACCGACACUGCCCAAUGAGCCAUCGGUCAGGAUGAAGAGCUGCCGAGGGCAGCUGCGAUGGACAGGCUGGCGGUAGACCCAGGAUAGUGCUCCCAACAGGGUGUAUUCUGCCUUCCGCCGAAGACUGCUGGGAUAGGCUCCAGCUCCCCCCCGCGACCCUGACAGAGAAGCGGCUUAGAAAAUGGAUGGAUGCUGCUGUCUGGAUGACACCUUUUUCAAGGCCACCUCUACUUGUUUCCCGUUUGUUGUGGAAGACCCUGGAGCAGCUAAAACCUGAUACUGCACUGCCAUGGCAACCUGGAGUGCUGGCCGGGACACGGAUUGUUAUCAGCAGGGGAGAUUGCUCACAGGCUCUGCUUCCUUGCGUACACAGCGAAUGAAAUCACGGCGGGCACUAAUCUGCUGCUCGUACUGGCUGAAGGUUAGUCGGCCCCUCUCCAGGAUAACCAGUGGACUAUGAGGCUCUGUGAACGACAGUCAUCACCACAUUUCAAACCUUGCAUGUUGCACUGAUCCAAUGCUGAUACGAUUACAGACUAAAUCUUGAGUACUCAAUCAUCCUAAAGCCCAGGACACUGACCCGGCUUACUCUGACGAACAGCAGUGCUGGUGGCUGGCUUAAGAAUGUUUUGAAUUGAGAUGUUGAUUGAACCGCUGUGAACAGUGAGGGUAUAUUCUAGAGACUUGAUUGAACAAUCACUAAGAGGUAUGACACUUUAUGUAAUUAUUUAUGUAAUUAAAUAAUUUUCAUUCUGUA